ACGCCUUCAACUCCCCCAUUAUAUCCUGGAACAGUCAUAUUGUGGAAAGAAGGAUACAAAUCAGACUAGUUUUAGUACAAUUACUCACUAAACAUCAAUCACUACCAUUUAUUCCAAUUAGAAAACGAAAUAGUCAUCCUAAUUAUACCAAUUUAUUUCUCAAACUAACAGAGUGACAUAGAAUCACUGACCCUCGUGUCAACACAGUUCUCGUCUUCUUCUUCUUCUUCAACUGAAUCCACCGGGUUUAUGUUCCCAUUCGCAGCGGCCAAGUUAGUAUCUCUAUCGUCUUCCUCAGUAGUAGGGGUUUUCUCUCCCUUUAGUUUCCUUGUGUUAACCAUUUUUAAAAACCUGCAAACCAAGGACAUCAACAAACCAACCACACAGAGUUCUUCAUCAAACAAAAUCCAAGUUACCUAUUACUACGAGAGAACCGUGGGAGACAAUCGAGAGGAGACGAUAUCCGAAAAGCUUCUUCUUUUUUACGACUUUCUUUCAAAACGCUAGGGCGGUUAAAAUUAGGGGUUUCAUCGUGGAUAUACGCGAUAGAGAGAUUCGAGAUGAUUUCUCGCUUUCUUUUUGCUGUUUACAUU
rnacentral:lncRNA from 1 species